UACGAAGGGGGCGAGCGUUGUUCGGAUUUACUGGGCGUAAAGGGCGCGUAGGCGGCCGAUCAAGUCAGGCGUGAAAGCCCCGGGCUCAACCUGGGAAUUGCGCUUGGGACUGGUUGGCUGGAGUUCGGGAGAGGAGAGCGGAAUUCCCAGUGUAGAGGUGAAAUUCGUAGAUAUUGGGAAGAACACCGGUGGCGAAGGCGGCUCUCUGGACCGAGACUGACGCUGAUGCGCGAAAGCCAGGGGAGCAAACGGG
rnacentral:rRNA from 1 species